rnacentral:lncRNA from 1 species
UAAAAUCUACGGUACCCAUCGCUCCACUGGACUAGAUGGAGUAUUAGGGCAGGGCACUGUCGUCUUUUCAUAUUUUAUUAAAACUAACACAAAAUGCCAGAUCUCUCCGGCUCUUCUUCCCUAUCGCAUUGCUGCUGAUCCCGAUUGCGUUGCUCGUCCCCGGCGACGCUGCCGCCCUCCGUGCCGCACGCCGGCUCGGUGCCGCGGCCCUCGGAGCAGACGCCGGCGACCUCCUCCAGCGCGCCGCCGCGGCUAUCCUCCAGCACCUGCCGCCGCCCGAAGCGCAGAUCGCCCGCUGCCGCGGCCCUCGGAGCAGACGCCGACGACCUCCUCCAGCGCGCCGCCGCGGCCAUCCUCCAGCACUAGCUGCCGCCCGAAGCGCAGAUCGCUGUCGCGGCCUGCCUCCAGCGUGCCGCGGCCCUCGGAGCAGACGCCGGCUACCUCCUCCAGCGCGCCGCCGCGGGCUCCUCCAGCACCUGCCGCCGCCCGAAGCGCAGAUCGCUGCCGCUGCCGCGGCCCGCCUCCAGCGCGCCGGCGGCGUCCUCCUCCGAUGCUACCGUGGGCUCUUCGCGCGCCUCGCCGUCGCAGCGGCCCCCGCCGGUCUCCAGCGCUCCGCACAGCUCGCCGUCGCAGCCCUCGCAGCGGCGGCCGCCGCCCUCCGUGCGGCCUGUUCUUAGAUUACGCCUGCCCUUCUUAAUACUCCAUCCUGAUACUCCAUCCACCUAAAUUGAAAUAUUAAGGAG